rnacentral:rRNA from 1 species
UUGGAGGGCAAGUCUGGUGCCAGCAGCCGCGGUAAUUCCAGCUCCAAUAGCGUAUAUUAAAGUUGUUGCAGUUAAAAAGCUCGUAGUUGAAUUUCGGGAUUGACACAUCGGUCGUGCCUUAAGGGGUAUGAACUGGUGUAGUCAGUUUCUCACCUUCUGGAGAACCGCGAUGUCCUUAAUUGGGUGCCGCGAGGAACCAGGACCUUUACUUUGAAAAAAUUAGAGUGUUUAAAGCAGGCAUUUUGCUUGAAUACAUUAGCAUGGAAUAAUAAAAUAGGACGGAUGGUUCUAUUUUGUUGGUUUCUAGGAUCACCGUAAUGAUUAAUAGGGAUAGUUGGGGGCAUUAGUAUUCAAUUGUCAGAGGUGAAAUUCUUGGAUUUAUUGAAGACUAACUACUGCGAAAGCAUUUGCCAAGGAUGUUUUCAUUAAUCAAGAACGAAAGUUAGGGGAUCGAAGACGAUCAGAUACCGUCGUAGUCUUAACCAUAAACUAUGCCGGCUAGGAAUCAGACGAUGUUAAUUUUUUAAUGACUCGUUCGGCGCCUUACGGGAAAC